UACGUAGGGUGCGAGCGUUGCCCGGAUUUAUUGGGCGUAAAGGGCGCGCAGGCGGUACGGCACGUCCGUUGUGAAAUCGCCCCGGCUCAACUGGGCGGGGUCAGCGGAUACGGCCGCACUUGAGCAAGCUAGGGGGCAAUGGAAUUCCCGGUGUAGUGGUGGAAAUGCGUAGAUAUCGGGAAGAACACCAGUGGCGAAGGCGGCUUCCUGGCCUGUUCUUGACGCUGAGGCG
rnacentral:rRNA from 1 species